UCGCGGGGACGACCCCGCGUUCUCCAUACGACAAUCGGCCGGGACGACCCAG
rnacentral:ncRNA from 1 species